CAGCAGCCGCGGUAACACAGAGGGUGCGAGCGUUAAUCGGAUUUACUGGGCGUAAAGCGUGCGUAGGCGGCUUUUUAAGUCGGAUGUGAAAUCCCUGAGCUUAACUUAGGAAUUGCAUUCGAUACUGGGAAGCUAGAGUAUGGGAGAGGAUGGUAGAAUUCCAGGUGUAGCGGUGAAAUGCGUAGAGAUCUGGAGGAAUACCGAUGGCGAAGGCAGCCAUCUGGCCUAAUACUGACGCUGAGGUACGAAAGCAUGGGGAGCAAACAGGAUUAGAUACCCGUGUAGUCCCUGUCUCUUAUAC
rnacentral:rRNA from 1 species